GUCCAGACUCCUACGGGAGGCAGCAGUGGGGAAUAUUGCACAAUGGGGGAAACCCUGAUGCAGCGACGCCGCAUGAGCGAUGAAGUAUUUCGGUAUGUAAAGCUCUAUCAGCAGGGAAGAAGAUGACGGUACCUGACUAAGAAGCCCCGGCUAACUACGUGCCAGCAGCCGCGGUAAUACGUAGGGGGCAAGCGUUAUCCGGAUUUACUGGGUGUAAAGGGAGCGUAGACGGCGAUGCAAGCCAGAUGUGAAAGCCCGGGGCUCAACCCCGGGACUGCAUUUGGAACUGUGUGGCUGGAGUGUCGGAGAGGCAGGCGGAAUUCCUAGUGUAGCGGUGAAAUGCGUAGAUAUUAGGAGGAACACCAGUGGCGAAGGCGGCCUGCUGGACGAUGACUGACGUUGAGGCUCGAAAGCGUGGGGAGCAAACAGGAUUAGAUACCCUCGUA
rnacentral:rRNA from 1 species